rnacentral:rRNA from 1 species
CUACGCACUCCUACGGGAGGCAGCAGUGGGGAAUAUUGCACAAUGGGCGCAAGCCUGAUGCAGCCAUGCCGCGUGUAUGAAGAAGGCCUUCGGGUUGUAAAGUACUUUCAGCAGUGAGGAAGGUGGGUAUGUUAAUAGCAUAUCAUUUGACGUUAGCUGCAGAAGAAGCACCGGCUAACUCCGUGCCAGCAGCCGCGGUAAUACGGAGGGUGCGAGCGUUAAUCGGAAUUACUGGGCGUAAAGCGCAUGCAGGUGGUUUGUUAAGUCAGAUGUGAAAGCCCGGGGCUCAACCUCGGAAUUGCAUUUGAAACUGGCAAACUAGAGUACUGUAGAGGGGGGUAGAAUUUCAGGUGUAGCGGUGAAAUGCGUAGAGAUCUGAAGGAAUACCGGUGGCGAAGGCGGCCCCCUGGACAGAUACUGACACUCAGAUGCGAAAGCGUGGGGAGCAAACAGGAUUAGAUACCCCGGUAG